GGCCUUCACUGCUCCGCGGGGCCCGCCUCGGCUUCUCCGAGCAUCCCGGGGUGCCGCCUUUCCACCCUGAGCCGGAGACGGGGCGCCGUGUCCUGUGAGGGCUGCGGGGCCCCGCUGGGGUGUGAGCGGCUGCAGCCCGCGAGCCUGGCAUGGGAAGGAUGCCGGCUUUAAGGCUGCACCGAGUGUAACGAUAAGCUGCGCACUCGUCCCUCUGGAAAUGAAUAAAUAGCGCGAGAUGCCUCCGGUCGGAGGUGCCUCCUGUCGCUUUGGGUCCUGAUGGGGCAGCGGUACCAAGUACUGAUUAGUGCCAGCGUAACAAGAGCCUCCUCGCAGAUGUUAAAACAUUAUAGCGUGCAGAGCUGCAUGGUGCCUUUACAACAAAAAAGACGUAGUGAAGCCGAUUGUAAUCAGGCAAUUACUUGUGGACAUCCACAGCACUCGGUCAGAAGUCCUGGUUCUUUCUGCUUCAGACAAAGCUGCUUGUGGGAGCGCUGUGUCUCACAUAGUAUUCUACUGCUGCAGAGCAGGGCUGAAAUGUUUCUGUUAUAAAUGCACAGCAGUGUCCUCGGCUAGUUCCUUAUGGAAGCUAGAGUUUCUGUUUAUCAGUGGAAAAUGUGCAUGCUGACAUCUGUGCGAAAGACCUCUACACAAUUAUUAGAGUUUUAAAGUGUGUCUCUUUGGAAUGAGCACAGCAAUAACCAGAAGCAAUUGUGCCAAGAAUUUGUGAUGCCCGUUAAGCAUUUGUUCGUGAUAGACUGUGUUACCAGAGUGUUUUCCUAUGCCUGUGCAAGAAAAGUUUCCGUAAUCAUUUCUCUUUUAAGAAACAGUUUCUGAUGAGGUUCCUAAACAGCAGUAGAAACAGGGAUAGAUUGUUCUAUGUGCAUCUAGCUUUGCCUCUGCUUUAUAUAAUUUCACUGCUAUUGUCCUUGAGCCACUCCUUGAACCACUCCUCGUGCUUAUAAAAACUUUUGAAGUCUGAGAUGGAAUGUUACUGCAGUGCUGACCGUAAUUACAUUCUUCCUGCUCUUCCUUUCCCCAUCUGUCUGAAUCCAUCAGCUCCUUUAGUCUAUAAACUUACAGGACUAGGAACAAUCUUUUUUGCGCUCUUUUUGUAUCAAGUGCUGUGGAAGCUUAUUCUUUAUAAGCUGGAGUGCCUAAACUCUGAGAUAACAUUAAUAAUAAAAAGAUCAGCACAAAUAAUAACUGUUCCUUUUUAUUCAUUUCACAGCUUUUUUGAUCUGAAAUACUUGAUGUCUCUCUUUCAGUUCUGAAGGCAUUUUCUGGAGAAGCUAGAACAGAUAAACUUGUUACUCACCUAAGGAAAAACCCUGGAGCUUCUGAUAAAAAGGAGGUUGGUGUCACCUUAAUCAUGGCUGUCUUCUCAGAGAGUGACCUUGGAAUCCUGGCCCUCCAGGUGCCCUGCUUGGCCUACUUGCUGCAACCUGCACUGUUGAUAGUUGACAUGAUGUAGAGAAGUACAGCAGAAAUGUUGUGGAAAAUUUGGAUUGUAAGAUUACACAGACCUUUAAAGGAAAAUACAUUCAUCUUCUGUGACCAGUCUGAAGGUUUGUGUGGUGAGAAAAAUUGCUCAUCGUGAGUAAACUGAGAAAUACAAUGGGAAGUGGGUUAAGAUGUAGCAGCAUCUCUACAUAGAAGUUGCCAGCUAAGUGCAUUUUUUUUUCCUGGAGCCCUGCUAAAACCUAACACGACAGUAUGUUCCUUCUGUGUGAGAUGAAACAGUGACACUGCCAGUAGGAAUAUGUCAACAUGGUAAAUUUUCGCCUCUCUGGAAGUGGGCAGCUUGAUGACUGCAGCCUGACUGUGACACCAAGGAACAUUACUGUCGGCUCUUCUACUUCAGACCAGAGAGGAAAUGCAAAGCAGGCAGGUCUCUUGAUUUAGCAUCUGCAGACACAUCUCCUGAAGCUGAUCUGUUGUGCCCAUCUGCCUGCCGUGGCUGCAUUGCUCUUUUGAUAUGUCCCUUAGAAGCAGGAGUUCAGUUUUAUUCAGCCAAGCAUAACUUCUUAUAUGAGGGCUGUUCUCUCCUCCGAUAUCCUCCACCUUCUUCUGUUCAGCAUCUUCUGUCUGCUCCACCAUAUUGUAGCCUGACUUGAAUGAGGAAAUAAGGAUCUUUAGAAGUGUCUCUUCUUAAUGUCUCUUAGAAGACUUUCUUGGAAUGAGACACAGACCUUUUAUAGAUGCCUUUUUCUCCACUAGUCAUUGGCAGGGAGUUCGACGUAUGGAUAUUUCCAAAGGAAUUUAAGGACCAGCCUGUGGGAGCUCUGGCAGGGUAAGGAUCCCAGGUGUCCAAUUCCCUCCUGGCCUCAGCAGCAGAAUAACUUUUAUUCCACUAAUAUUUGAUGAAAACAUUUAAUAGAAGAGGAUUGUCAAUAAAAAUAAAGUGUUGAUAUUUGUAAUCUUGCUUUCCCAUUUCAGAAGCAAGAAACAUCCUCCCUUAGAGAAGGCAUGAUGAGUUGGCUAAGGGCACUGAUCGCUUCUUGGCUCAGAUGUGGAGGAGGAAGCAAUAGAAUGACAGUUACACAUUUUAAUAGAUUUCCAAGGAAGCCUCAGUGGUAAAGUUAUUAUUUACUUACCCUUGCAUAAAAGACUGUUACAUUCAGUUUAAAGUAACUUUUAAAUUUGCUUUUUCAACAUAGUUUGUAUGCAUGAUUCAGGCCUUUUUAAAGAAAAUGAUUCUGCUAAGCCAACAUAAUGUAUACAAAACAGCUAGAGAAAAUUAUUUAAAAAAUAAUAUUAAUCCCUUGCAUAAAGUGCAAAUCUUAUGCCAGGAAUCAAAUGGAGAAGACUGCUUCCUCUUUCAUCUUUAAUAAACAAAGUGUGGCCCCUGAAGACUGAAGGUCACUGCCUGUAAUGCUUCAUAAUGUGAUCUGCAGUGCCAGCACAUAACGCUCCAGCCUGAUCUCAGGGGCAGAUGGCAGGAGUCACAGUGUCACAGUCUUGAAAUGGAUCUCAUGCUGCCUGAAGGUGACAAGCUACCUGAGCCUUGGGAGGGGAGAAUCAACUGGGAUAACAUGAGAACUGUGCCAAAUCCUUGCACUUUGAAAUCUGAAACAUACUUUUUCUGAAGUCUGAAGAUGCUCUGUUCACAUAUUGCAUGACUGGUAGUUAGCUUAGAUAGGUUAAAAGAACCUAGGAGUUCCCAUGAAUACCAAACUGAACACAAGUCAGAAAUGUGCAUUUGCUGUUAAGAAGGCUAACAGUAUUCUGGGCUGCAUAAGGCAAAGUAUCACCAGCAGGUCACGUUGAGCCUGAAGAAGAGGAGGCUCAGGAGAAUCUUUUCCACGUGUACAAAGAUCUGCAGGGAAGGCACAAAGAGGAAGGAGCCAGGCUAUUUUUUGGUGAUGGUUGCCAGUGCCAGACAGAGGGCACAAAGAGGAAUACAGGAAGUUCCAUCUGAACACCAGAAAGCACUUCUGUGCCACACAGGUGAUGGAGCACUGGCACAGCUUACAUUGUGCAGUCUCCCUCCUUGGAGAUCUUCAAAAGCUGCCUGAAUGUGGUCCUGGACAACCUGCUCUGAGUGUCCCCACCUCCUGAGGUACCUUCCAGUCCUGAGCAUUCUGUGAAUCUCUGUUUCUGUUACAGUGUGUUUUUCUAGUCCUCCAAAUGAAACAAGAAGGAAGGAAAGAAGGAAAGAAGGAAAGAAGGAAAGAAGGA